GUGCCAGCCGCCGCGGUCACACCGGCAGCUCGAGUGAUGGCCGAUUUUAUUGGGCCUAAAGCGUCCGUAGCCUGCCGUACGGGUCCGUCGGGAAAUCCGCCCGCUUAACGGGCGGACGUCCGGCGGAAACCAUACGGCUUGGGACCAGAGGACCCGAGGGGUACGUCGGGGGUAGGAGUGAAAUCCCGAGAUCCUCGACGGACCGCCGGUGGCGAAAGCGCCUCGGGAAGAUGGAUCCGACGGUCAGGGACGAAAGCCAGGGUCUUCAACCGGAUUAGAAACCCCAGUAGUCC
rnacentral:rRNA from 1 species